UUUACAAAGAAUAUCCAUUUGUCUUCUUCCAUGUUUCAGUGAGAGAACAGCAACGGUGCACGCGGGCGGAACUUGCCCCGGAUCGGUCUGGCUUCUCCUAUCAGACUUUCCCUAUGGUUUUCCAAAGCUAGAGCAGACUUCCAUUCUUCCUGUGGUGCACCUUGACUGACCACAUCCUGAUCUGCGUCGGGAGAAAAUGCACAUGGCAAGUAAUCUUGGACAUGAAGCAUCCUUUAGCGAGGGGGCUCAUCAAGUUCAAAAAGAUAACCUGAAACUGUCUCCUCCAAUGCCACAUCAUAAUGAUAUUACCUAGAAUUUUAUUUACAGGUUAGUGGAUGUACUUUCUUUUGUUACUUUGGUUCUUACUUGUUGUUGUGCCUCUUCUUUCGGAUAAACAAUAGACUCCAUAAGAUACUUCUUUAA
rnacentral:lncRNA from 1 species